GGGAGUCGCUUGUCUUCUGCACUCGUCAGGGGAUAAUUGAACACUCUGAAUACUGUCCCAGCAUCUCUGGAUAAAAAUCUGUAUUCUAGUCUGAACUGUGGGAAGAAAGGAUUGUUGAUCUGUGGUUUUCCUGCUUGAAGGAUACAAUGUUUUCCAAACUAGCACAUUUGCAGAAGGUUGUUGUGCUUCCUCGUAGAGUUCAUUCUUCAGUGGCUUCUGCCACAUCUGUUGCAACUAAAAAAACGGUCCAAGGCCCUCCAUCCUCUGAGUACAUUUUUGAAAGGGAAUCUAAAUAUGGUGCUCAUAACUACCAUCCUUUACCUGUAGCCCUGGAGAGAGGAAAAGGUGUUUACCUAUGGGACGUAGAAGGCAGAAAAUAUUUUGACUUCCUGAGUUCUUAUAGUGCUGUUAACCAAGGGCAUUGUCAUCCAAAGAUUGUGAAUGCUCUAAAGAGUCAAGUGGAUAAAUUGACUUUAACAUCUAGGGCUUUCUAUAAUAAUGUACUUGGUGAAUAUGAGGAGUACAUUACUAAACUUUUCAACUAUCACAAAGUUCUUCCUAUGAAUACAGGAGUAGAGGCUGGAGAGACUGCCUGCAAACUAGCUCAGAGAUGGGGCUAUUCCAUGAAGGGAAUUCAGAAAUACAAAGCAAAGAUUGUUUUUGCAGCUGGAAAUUUUUGGGGUAGGACUUUGUCUGCUAUCUCCAGUUCCACGGACCCAACCAGUUAUGAUGGUUUUGGACCAUUUAUGCCAGGAUUUGAAAUCAUUCCGUAUAACGAUCUGUCUGCAUUAGAGCAUGCUCUUCAAGACCCAAAUGUUGCUGCGUUUAUGGUUGAGCCAAUCUAGGGUGAAGCCGGAGUUGUUGUCCCAGAUCCAGGCUACCUAAUGGGAGUACAGGAACUCUGCACCAGGCACCAGGUUCUGUUUAUUGCUGAUGAAAUACAGACAGGAUUGGCCAGAACUGGUAGAUGGCUGGCUGUUGAUCAUGAAAAUGUCAGACCUGAUAUAGUCCUUCUUGGAAAGGCCCUUUCUGGGGGCCUAUACCCUGUGUCUGCGGUGUUGUGUGAUGAUGAAAUAAUGCUGACCAUCAAACCAGGGGAACACGGGUCCACGUAUGGGGGCAACCCGCUGGGCUGCCUGUGGCUAUUGCAGCCCUUGAGGUUUUAGAAGAAGAAAACCUUGCAGAAAAUGCAAACAAAAUGGGUACUAUCUUGAGAAAUGAACUCAUGAAGCUACCCGCUGAUAUUGUCACUGCCGUAAGAGGAAAAGGAUUAUUAAAUGCUAUUGUUAUUAAAGAAACAAAAGAUUAUGAUGCUUGGAAGGUGUGUCUGCAACUCCGAGAUAAUGGACUUCUGGCCAAGCCAACGCAUCAGGUUUGCUCCACCACUAGUGAUCAAGGAGGAUGAGAUUCGAGAAUCCAUUGAAAUCAUUAACAAGACCAUCUUGUCUUUCUGAGGGCUCCCGCUGGAGGGAAUCUGCUGGAAAUGUGGUCUAAAAGCUCUGCUUUUAAUGCAGGCACAUUUCACUCCUACAUGUCUUCAAAGACUUUUUUUGAACUAUAUAUUUUUUUCAGUUGAUACAUAAUAGAAUGACAUUUAUGAGCCUGCAGUUUGCUGUAUAACAUAAGAGAAUGUAAUGGCAUCUAUAUUCAGUGUAAUGUUUCUAUGUGCAUGUAAUCUAUAUAUAGACAGCCAUUAAAACAAGUCCUUUGGUGUAAUUUAUAUAUGUUUUUAUAAUUUCUUUGCUGGUAUAAAUAUUUCAUAUUUGAAAGAGUUAUCUUUGAGCUAUUACAUAAAGGGCUUGAUCAACCUUAUAAAGUUAAAUCAUUAUAUUUAUUUGAGUGUAAAAGUAUAGUUAGAAUGAACAAUACUUGAUAGCACAACAAGGUGACUGUAAUCAACAAUAAGUUGGGGCAUAAUUUAAAAUAACUAGAAGAGUGGAAUUGGAAUGUUCUCAACACAAAGGAAAACAUUAAAUGCCUGAGGUGAUGGACACCCCAGUCACCCUGAUUUGAUUAAUACACAUGUGUGCCUGUACCC